rnacentral:rRNA from 1 species
UACGGAGGGUGCAAGCGUUAUCCGGAUUUACUGGGUUUAAAGGGUGCGUAGGCGGGCAGGUAAGUCAGGGGUGAAAUCUUCGAGCUUAACUCGGAAACUGCCUUUGAUACUAUCUGUCUUGAAUAUUGUGGAGGUAAGCGGAAUAUGUCAUGUAGCGGUGAAAUGCUUAGAUAUGACAUAGAACACCUAUUGCGAAGGCAGCUUACUACAGGGAUAUUGACACUGAGGCACGAAAGCGUGGGGAUCAAACAGG